GCCGAGGGGAGCGGGGCGGUGCCUGCGGAACCACCCGGGCGGCGCGGUGGGACUCGGCCUCUCUCCGCGUCCGCCACCGUGAGGCACAGCGGCGGAGCUUGGACGGGGCGGCCGCCAUGAGGGCUUCCAGCUGGUGUGGCGGCUGAGGCGCGUGUGAGGGGGAUGGCUGUAACGCGGAGCUCUGGGGUGGCAAAGAGCUGUCUGGGAGACACAGCCCUCGGGUAACAGCUCCUCAACGGUGGCCUUCAUCGAUGGAAACCCCCGAGUCUUGCCAUAGCAUGACCUGUGCCUGUGGAGAGGAGAUGUGAGGGAAUAACCUGUGUGUGAGGCACGGGGAGAGAGCGGGAGCCUUUUGAGCUACGAGGGAGGGGGCUUGGUGGGGCAGCGGUAGCUGUCAGAAGAAAAGGAGUAAGCUGUUGGUGCCGCUUUGUAGGCCGCCAUUUGAAACAGAUUGAGAAGAUGGAAACUUACACAGUUUAAGUGGGAUUGCUGGAGAACUACUUGUUUUCAGGAUCUGGAUGCAGUAACUUUUGAAACAUCAAAGGUGGUUACGGGCAAGGUAUAACACAAAUUAGAUACACAAUUUGUUAAUGCCCUCUCACUGCUUGUUUAAAAUGAUAUCUUUAUUAAACUUAAUUUAUUUUUAAACUUG